rnacentral:rRNA from 1 species
CCAGCAGCUGCGGUAAUUCCAGCUCCAAUAGCGUAUAUUUAAGUUGUUGCAGUUAAAAAGCUCGUAGUUGGAUUUCGGGCGACGUUCGGCGGUCCGCCUCUGGUGUGCACUGCUGCGGCGUCGUCUUUCUGUCGGGGACGGGCUCCGGGCUUCACUGUCCGGACCUGGAUUCGGCGAGGUUACUUUGAGUAAAUUAGAGUGUUCAAAGCAGGCGAUCGCCCUGAAUACAUUAGCAUGGAAUAGCACGAUAGGACUCUGGCCUAUCUUGCUGGUCUGUAGGACCGGAGUAAUGAUUAAAAGGGACGGUCGGGGGCAUUCGUAUUUCAUUGUCAGAGGUGAAAUUCUUGGGUUUAUGAAAGACGAACUUCUGCGAAAGCAUUUGCCAAGUAUGUUUUCAUUGAUCAAGAACGAAAGU